AUGAAAAAAAAAUUCUCAAAUCCAAUUUUAGGAUAUGUUAGGUUUACAAGUAUGCAAUCCUGCAUUAAGGUAGUUUUUAAUGCGAUCGAUUAUCUAAAUUUCCUCCUGCUCUCUUUACAAGUAUGCAAGGCUCAUAUCUCAAGUAUGGUCGAAGCAUUGCUGUUAGGCAAGGUGGUUAAUCGUGUCCAGAUUAUUGAUGAGUGGUUCUCAUCCUUUACUGUAGCUUCACCAAAGUUGUAUUGUUGCAUGCUUGCAGAUACGCGUAGUUUCAGUUUGGCUUGUGAUAUUGAUAUUUUAUCAAAUAUAAUUCCAUGCAUGAUGCAAAAAGAUCAUUCGGAAAUGAGCACGUUCCAUGUAAUCUGGGUGGCACUCACCCAUAUAUUCUAUGUACAGAACUCUCCGUUUGCACAACAUUAG
rnacentral:rRNA from 1 species